rnacentral:rRNA from 1 species
UACGGGGGGAGCAAGCGUUGUUCGGAUUUACUGGGCGUAAAGGGCGCGUAGGCGGUCAGCACAAGUCAGUUGUGAAAUCUCCGGGCUUAACUCGGAAAGGUCAACUGAUACUGUGCGACUAGAGUGCGGAAGGGGCAACUGGAAUUCUCGGUGUAGCGGUGAAAUGCGUAGAUAUCAGGAGGAACACCGGUGGCGAAGGCGGCUUGCUGGGCCAGUUCUGACGCUGAGGAGCGAAAGCAUGGGGAGCGAACAGG